UACAUGCAAGCACACACAUGCACACACACUCACACCCGGGCUGACUCCUUCCGUCGCGCGACUCCUAUCCACUUUCGUCUCAGACCGCAUCGAAAGCAGGGCUCUGCUUUUUUUGUUGUUGUAAUUUUGAUCAUUUUAAUUUGCUUUGCUUGCUUCUGUUUUUUUUAGUCUGCUAAACCCCUUCUCUGCAUAGAGAGCAAGCCCCUGAAAACACAGGCCCUGGAUUGCCCCUGCACCCGACCGCACGCUAGCAAUCGAUUUGUGUAUUUACACCUCCCUAGUUUUUUGUUCUUUUAUUAAAAAAAACAACAACAUAAAACUAACAUUUUCAAUUCGGCCCAUUUCUCCACAUGCCGAUUCUGAAGAGGGGACCAUGAAAAGAAGAGAACAUUUGCGGAAUGGACAGUUGAAGGGGACAUCAGAGGAGAGGAAAAAAAAGUGAGAAAAUGGAGAGCGUGCUCUGUUGGAGACUGAGAGAGGUCCGGUACUGGUAUGUACCGCCUCUCUGUCUACUCCAGUAUCAGCCUCCGAUAUCUCUUCCUGUUCCUUUCUCUAUUCCCUCCCUUCAUGUGUUAUCUGCCUCCCUGCUCUGUGGCAGAUUUAUAAAGGAAAAUGGUGAAAGAUAGAGGAGAGAGUUUUGACUGAAAAUGCAGUAGGUUGGACUCUAACCCACGCUACAGCAGUACAUGUGCAAUGCAGGCAGUGGAUUAUACUGCUGGACCAACCCAGACCUGACCUACAACCAACCUGGCCACUUUGAUUCCAAACAAUCCAACAUCUAAAAGGACUGCUGUAGCAUAUUCCUGUCUUCAGUCCUUAGAAACUUCCCAGUAAGGAGUUAUGGGGAGAAUUUCAAUACGCUUGCGCUUCAGCGAAAACGUAGGAUCUCAUAAACCUGGACAAGGGAAAACCAGAGGGACAAAAAGGAGAGAGGUCUAAUUUAACAUACAGUACAAUGCUCCAUGCACCUUUGCUGUCGGGUGCAUUUGCAUACCUGUGCAUAUGCAGGCCUACAGUUAGUCUUUCUGUGCAUGACCCUGGAGCUGUUCACAAUCCUCUGGAAAUGUUAAGGCCAUCUUUCAAUUUCUGUCUUCUGAAGGUCCGUAUCAAACGUGCAUGCGGAAAACUCAUAGUAUUGAUUGUGUUUCUCAGUAGUUUAAAGCCUUUCGUUGUUUAAAGAAAGCACAUGUUUAUUUAUGUUUCACUAUACAAUGUGGACUGAUUUUGGAAUGUGUCUCCCAAUCAAUGAUCAUCCUUUAAUAUUUAAUGUCACUGAAAAGGAAUAGGAAUAUUUGCGUUUAUUUCCUCCACAAAAUGAUGAUGUGCGCCAUAACAGUGGACACUUCUGUGUCUAUAGGGCGGUUAGAGUUGCUUGGCCAGCAACCGAAAAGGAAACUGUUUCGAAACUGUGAGCUGAGACUGUGAACAUUCUGUCAUCGCUAACCCAAAACACUGUAGGAUAACAGCUUCUACUAAAUGACUAAAAUGUCAAAUCGAUGUCAUGGCAGCGCACUCCGGAUUGGGUUAGAGUUGGCCCUAACCUGUUUUGGGUUACCGAGUACAGUGAUUUCAGUCACAGAGCCUGUGGAACCUGAUGACGGUGUGUUCAUCAAAUUCUCCUCAAACACUGUUGUUUUUGCUGUUCGGUUUAGAUCAGGGCUGCUUAAACUGUUUUUGGAGAUCUUCUAACCAAUAGGUUUUCUCUCCAGGCAGUUGUGACUAACCUGGAUCAGUUUUCCAUCGAGCUGAUUGUUAUAAUCAGGUGUGGGUUGGAGAGAAAUACUAUCGGAUGUUAGGGCUGGGCAGACCUGGUUUAGACAAUUGAUCAGUUAGUCUUUCUGUCUAUCACUAGGGGGUGACAUUGUGCACAAUUAGAUCGACAAUGGGCCUAAAUGUAUAUUCAUGUCUGAUUUUAGUAUAUGUGACCCUGAACUAUUUAAAUGGAAAACCCAAAAAUAACACUGUGCCUGUCUUCCAUUUAUUUCUUACUUGUGUCCUUUUGUCAGGUUUGGAUGGGAGGUUUAGAGAUGAGCCAUCUACAUCCACUCAAGCGACACUACACACAAUUGGAUGGUUUGCGUGAUCUAAAAUUCCUGGAACAAGAUCUUUGAAGAAAAAGACAUUGGUUUUGUCACAGGUGAGGUCCUUGGGAACAAGGCUGCAUGCAAGUUCAUCAGAAUAAAAAAAAGCUGUUAGUGGACUUGCAGAAGGAUGUCAUCGAGAUCAAGAAAAUAUCAUCAGUUUUACAGCCAAGACGGCAUGGAAAUAUACCCACCAAAAGCAUUAGAUAAUGACAUUGAAAUGUAAUACAUUCUCUUUGCAGUUCAUGUUCCAUAGCAUGUGAAAUUACCUGAUCAUAAUACAUGCAUUUUUAAGGUACUGAAAUCGCAAACCAAACAACCUUUAAGGUGUUUGUGAAAGGAAAGACUGACGGAAUGGAACUGUAAGAUGUUCACAAUAUCAUAUGUCAUUAUGUAUUCAUUGUAUAUCCAAGAAGUUUUAUUCAUUAUUUUACACUCAACAUAGCAUCUACAAAUUAGGGUACCCGCACUUUUUUUGUUUGUUGCACAAAUCAAAAAUCUAACUCUUAUCAUUGUUAAUUUAAUUUUGUCUGAAAAGAUUUAUCUUUGCACCAUCCAGACAACUUUGAGCAGCCAAUGACGCAAUUGAGACUACUGGAGGGACUGUCCCUGUUGGCCAGUUUUGUGCCCUGACCAUUAAUGGUCCAAUAAGAAAACAGCAAAGGGUCAUUACCUAGAUAUUUGUACCACCUGGGUCUUUCAAGAUUUCCAUCCGGACUAUGAAAAUAGUCUAUUUCGUGUUUCAAAAAGCAAACACUUUGAUGAGUUGUAAUAAGCAUGUUUUAUUUAAAUAAACAUAAAAUGUGUUUCA